rnacentral:misc_RNA from 1 species
UGCUUUCCAUUUUUAGCUUAUUGGGUAAUUGAACUUAAUUGAUGUUGAGUAUCCGUACUGUUUAUUACUGAAACCAUUUACACAGACAGAAGAAAACUAUAUAAUCAGAGAAAAUAUAGACAGUAGAUGAGCUUUAUCAACAUUAAAGUUUGAGGUCUGGCAAAUUAAGGACGUUAGCUUUUGAGUAGACAGUACCUUUGAUAAUAUCCUAUUACUUAUGGGGCUAAGAGGUGGAAAUUGCUGCUGGGAGGUAAGUUACUGAGAAAUAGCUUAGAAUGAAUACGAGUCCAGGCUGCACGAGCUAUUGCAUAAAAGCAUAUUGCUUCUAUGAAUAAUUAUGCCUUUAGAUGUGUGUAUUGUUCUUCAUGGUGCAGAAAGUUUAGAUGAGAAUCAUAGACAACAUUUAAAGUCAUGAGACUCCUCGAGAUCCCGGAGAUAAUAUAUUUGCAUGGAA